CCUCGUCAUCUAAUUAGUGAC
rnacentral:siRNA from 1 species